UCUUAUUGGGGUAUUCGAGCCUGCCUUCGACAAGGAGGGUUAAGUCGUAACAAGGUAUCUGUAGGGGAACCUGCAGAUGGAUCACCUCCU
rnacentral:ncRNA from 1 species